rnacentral:rRNA from 1 species
UACGUAGGGGGCUAGCGUUGUCCGGAAUCAUUGGGCGUAAAGAGCGUGUAGGCGGUCCGGUAAGUCCGCUGUGAAAGUCGGGGGCUCAACCCUCGAAUGCCGGUGGAUACUGUCGGGCUAGAGUGCGGAAGAGGCGAGUGGAAUUCCUGGUGUAGCGGUUAAAUGCGCAGAUAUCAGGAGGAACACCUAUUGCGAAGGCAGCUCGCUGGGACGUAACUGACGCUGAGACGCGAAAGCGUGGGGAGCAAACAGG